GAUGAAGAACGUAACGAAAUGCGAUAAGUAAUGUGAAUUGCAGAAUUCAGUGAAUCAUCGAAUCUUUGAACGCACAUUGCGCCCGCCAGUAUUCUGGCGGGCAUGCCUGUUCGAGCGUCAUUUCAACCAUCAAGCCCCCGGCUUGUGUUGGGGACCUGCGGCUGCCGCAGGCCCUGAAAACCAGUGGCGGGCUCGCUAGUCACUCCGAGCGUAGUAAUACAUCUCGCUCAGGGCGUGCUGCGGGUUCCGGCCGUUAAAAGCCUUAUUUACCCAAGGUUGACCUCGGAUCAGGUAGGAAGACCCGCUGAACUUAAGCAUAUCAAUAAGCGGAGGA
rnacentral:misc_RNA from 1 species